CGGGACGGGUGAGUAAUGUCUGGGAAACUGCCUGAUGGAGGGGGAUAACUACUGGAAACGGUAGCUAAUACCGCAUAACGUCGCAAGACCAAAGAGGGGGACCUUCGGGCCUCUUGCCAUCGGAUGUGCCCAGAUGGGAUUAGCUAGUAGGUGGGGUAACGGCUCACCUAGGCGACGAUCCCUAGCUGGUCUGAGAGGAUGGCCAGCCACACUGGAACUGAGACGCGGUCCAG
rnacentral:rRNA from 1 species